rnacentral:rRNA from 1 species
UACGAAGGGGGCUAGCGUUGCUCGGAAUCACUGGGCGUAAAGCGCACGUAGGCGGAUUGCUAAGUCAGGGGGGAAAUCCUGGAGCUCAACUCCAGAACUGCCCUUGAUACUGGCGGUCUCGAGUCCGGGAGAGGUGAGUGGAACUGCGAGUGUAGAGGUGAAAUUCGUAGAUAUUCGCAAGAACACCAGUGGCGAAGGCGGCUCACUGGCCCGGUACUGACGCUGAGGUGCGAAAGCGUGGGGAGCAAACAGG